CUCUCUGUCAGUGUUGUGUUGUACCUGCACUAAACUGUGUGUUCUGUCUGCCUUGCUGGUCUAAUUUAUUGCUUUAUUCCUCAGUUUAGUUAGUUUUCCCCAGGUCAAGCAAUAUAGCCGUUUUUGAGUUCACCUUCUGCCUCCUGGAGCUUGAAUUUUGGGUCCUCCAUUCCUUCCUACUGCACACAGACAUGAUGACCAAAAAUGAAUGCAAAAGCAACCCAAGAGUUUCUCAAGGCCGUCAGUCCGAUUUGAGUUUUUCAGUUACUGAAGAUAAAACCGAAGACACAAAAACCACAAACUCAGCAGCAGCUGGAGGUGGCCACAGUGAAGGCCUAUAAAAGCAUCUCAGAGAAAUGUAUCUCAAAAGGAAAUGUAGCAUUUGGUGAUGCAAAAGUGUUCUGGACUUCAGGCAGUCACUGACUGCAAAGGAUUUUAAGUAUUAAAAACAAUCCUUAUAUUUAAAAUGAUGCUAGUUUGUCUGUUUCAGCCCGAGGGAGGAAAGACGAUUGUGAGCAGCUUCUCUGACCCCAUCGCUCUCAUCUGCCCGCCUAUGGAACACCCAUAUAUCUUCACUCGACCGAUUGCAGCCAAGUCAGACCAACCUCCCCUCCAGACUGAUGCUCCAUCACCGGCAGUCAUCUUCCUGCUGCUCCUCCUGGCACAGCUUGGAGUUAUGUAGCUUUUAAUUCCUGUCCCCGAGGCAAAACACACAGUGGGCGAAAGGAGUUUUUUAGCCAUUCACCAGCAUGGAGGAAAUGACUGCAAACUGACAUUUGACAACAAACAAUCAUUGCAAUCAUGCAACAGAAAUAUUUAAAUCUCAGAGGAUGUUGGAGAUGGACGAGAUGAGGAUAGGGGAGCUUCAGAUGGUUGGGGGUUGUCUCUAUAAUAUUGCCAGAUUUUUACUAAAUAAAGUGCCUGGAGAUGA